UAUCAAAACAUGCUAUUAUUGAGCUUUUUUUCACCUGGGGAUAGCCUAGUUUAAAUUUAAAUGUUUGCUUCUUCUUAGCACGCCAGUAGCAACAAAUUCCAGCUACGCCUUUCCAUCUAUAUAUGUUAAUCAGUCACAAAAGUAGCUAAACUCUGUCUUAAAACUUCUCUGAUUAGGCACCGUUGGGAAUACCUCUGAAGAAAAAUUAUCAACACGCUGUGCGCAUCAUAUGCUCUUAUCAGGGAACCGACUACGGAGCGGUAUUUCAAGUUUAGUUCUGUACUGGUGCUGUAGAAUAGCUGAAACGAUCAUGGAUUUCUCGAUGUUUGUCAAGAUUUGUUUGUUUACGUUGCUGCUUGAAGUUGUACACAGUGCGCCAGCAAGGGAUUCGGACUGUCCCGAUCAGCGCAUCACGAAGAAAACUCAUUUCCUACCUCACGAGAGUGAUUGUAGUAAAUACUAUGUUUGCAACUGGAAAAAACCAAUAGUAAUGCAAUGCUCGCCUUAUACGUAUUGGAGUCAAAAAGAUUCAACUUGUGUCAGCAGCUGUCCAAGCGAAAGCUAUCUGAAUCCUGUAUCACGGCCUCCAACUAUUCAGCCGACAGUAGUCACCAUAACUCCAUACACAACACCUGAGUCGUCAUUUGUACUACCUACUACGCAUCGCAUCAUCCCUGUUCCUGUAACGGACGAUCAAACCAUUUGGGACGCAGAUGAUUUUUUCGCGACAGAAAGCACCAUUUAUGAGCAUGACAUCGAUGUCCGUGUUACCACGUGAAUAAAUUGUGUUCAGUUUGGAAUGCUUUGUUACAAAAGCAAAUGCAGAAUCAAAGUUAAAUUCAAGGAUGUUAGGAUAAUUUUAAGAUAUUAACCUAUCGAAAGAUACAGGAAUAUGUGCAGAAACGAAUGGGGAUUAUGAAACGAAUUCAUAUGCUGUUUACUUGAAUGAAAACAAUAAAAUCACUUUUAUGUUUUUGUUGUG